rnacentral:lncRNA from 1 species
CUACUACCACAACCACACUAUACACUACUACCACAACCACACUAUACACUACUACCACAACCACACUAUACACUACUACCACAACCACACUAGACUAUACACUACUACCACAACAACACCAGACUAUACACUACUACCGCAACCACACCAGACGAUACACUACUACCGCAAACACACCAGGCUACACAUUACUACCACACCCACACCAGACUACACACUACUACCACACCAUCACCAGACUAUACACCACUACCACAACAAACUAUACACUACUACCACAACCACACCAGGUUAUACACUACUACCACACCAGACUAUACACUACUACCACAACCACACCAGGCUAUACACUACUACCACAACCACACAAGGCUAUACACUACUACCACAACCACACAAGGCUAUACACUACUACCACAACCACACCAGGCUAUACACUACUACCACAACCACACCAGGCUAUACACUACUACCACAACAAACUAUACACUAC